AACUAAAACCUAAGCAUGACGAUUGGGUUUUCAUGCUACUGUAUGAUCAUAUGCCUUCCUCAAAACUUGUUACAACAUCAUCACAUCACCCAUCUGAUG